ACGCUGGCGGCAGGCUUAACACAUGCAAGUCGAACGCUCGUAGCAAUACGGGAGUGGCGGACGGGUGAGUAACGCGUGGGAACGUGCCCUGAGGUACGGAAUAACUGAGGGAAACUUCAGCUAAUACCGUAUGAGCCCGAGAGGGGGAAAGAUUUAUCGCCUUGGGAGCGGCCCGCGUCGGAUUAGCUAGUUGGUGGGUAACGGCCUACCAAGGCUUCGAUCCGUAGCUGGUCUGAGAGGACGAUCAGCCACACUGGGACUGAGACACGGCCCAGACUCCUACGGGAGGCAGCAGUGGGGAAUCUUGCGCAAUGGGGGCAACCCUGACGCAGCCAUGCCGCGUGAACGAUGAAGGCCUUAGGGUUGUAAAGUUCUUUUACCCGUGACGAUGAUGACGGUAACGGGGGAAUAAGCUCCGGCUAACUUCGUG
rnacentral:rRNA from 1 species